rnacentral:rRNA from 1 species
GCAUAUCAAUAAGCGGAGGAAAAGAAACUAACUAGGAUUCCCUUAGUAACGGCGAGUGAACCGGGAUGAGCUCAAAUUUAAAAUCUGGCGUCUUUCAGGCGUCCGAGUUGUAAUCUAUAGAGGCGUUUUCCGCGCCGGACCGCGUCCAAGUCUCUUGGAAUAGAGUAUCAAAGAGGGUGACAAUCCCGUACUUGACGCGACAACCGGUGCUCUGUGAUACGUUCUCAAUGAGUCGAGUUGUUUGGGAAUGCAGCUCUAAAUGGGUGGUAAAUUCCAUCUAAGGCUAAAUAUUGGCGAGAGACCGAUAGCGAACAAGUACCGUGAGGGAAAGAUGAAAAGCACUUUGGAAAGAGAGUUAAACAGCACGUGAAAUUGUUAAAAGGGAAACGAUUGAAGUCAGUCGUGUGAAAGGUAUUCAGCCGUCUCUGGCGGUGUAUUUGCCUUUCACGGGUCAACAUCAGUUUGAUCCGGUAGAAAAAGGCAGGAGGAAGGUGGCACCCUCGGGUGUGUUAUAGCCUCUUGUCAUAUGUGCCGGACCAGACUGAGGAACGCAGCUUGCCGCAAGGCCGGGGUUCGCCCACGUACAAGCUUAGGAUGUUGACAUAAUGGCUUUAAACGACCCGUCUUGAACCCGGGACC